rnacentral:misc_RNA from 1 species
GAUGAAGAACGUAGCGAAAUGCGAUAAGUAAUGUGAAUUGCAGAAUUCAGUGAAUCAUCGAAUCUUUGAACGCACAUUGCGCCCGCCAGUAUUCUGGCGGGCAUGCCUGUUCGAGCGUCAUUUCAACCAUCAAGCCCCAGGCUUGUGUUGGGGACCUGCGGCUGCCGCAGGCCCUGAAAACCAGUGGCGGGCUCGCUGUCACACCGGGCGUAGUAGAUUUUAUCUCGCUCAGGGCGUGCUGCGGGUUCCGGCCGUUAAAAAGCCUUUUUUACCCAAGGUUGACCUCGGAUCAGGUAGGAAGACCCGCUGAACUUAAGCAUAUCAAUAAGCGGAGGAA